rnacentral:lncRNA from 1 species
UCCUUUAGUCAGCAUUAGGGUUUUAAACCCUAAACUAAACUUUUUUCCAUUCAGCCAGCAUUAGGGUUUUAAACCCUAAACUGAGCUUUUCCAUGCAAUCAGCAUUAGGGUUUUAAACCCUAAACUGAACUUUUUUCCAUUCAGCCAGCAUUAGGGUUUUAAACCCUAAUAUGAGCUUUUCCAUGCAAUCAGCAUUAGGGUUUUAAACCCUAAACUGAACUCUUUCCUUUCAGUUAGCAUUAGGGUUUUAAACCCUAAACUGAACUUUUCCUUUAGUCAGCAUUAGGGUUUUAAACCCUAAACUGAACUUUUUCCUGCAAUCAGCAUUAGGGUUUUAAACCCUAAACUGAACUUUUUUCCAUUCAGCCAGCAUUAGGGUUUUAAACCCUAAACUGAGCUUUUCCAUGCAAUCAGUAUUAGGGUUUUAAACCCUAAACUGAACUCUUUCCUUUCAGUCAGCAUUAGGGUUUUAAACCCUAAACUGAACUUUUCCUUUAGUCAACAUUAGGGUUUUAAACCCUAAACUGAACUUUUUCCUGCAAUCAGCAUUAGGGUUUUAAACCCUAAACUGAGCUUUUUUCCAUUCAGCCAGCAUUAGGGUUUUAAACCCUAAACUAAGCUUUUCCAUGCAAUCAUCAUUAGGGUUUUAAACCCUAAACUGAACUUCUUCCUUUAGUCAGCAUUAGGGUUUUAAACGCUAAACUGAACUUUUUUCCAUUUAGCCAUCAUUAGGGUUUUAAACCCUAAACUGAGCUUUUCUAUGCAAUCAGCAUUAGGGUUUUAAACCCUAAACUGAACUUUUCCUUUAGUCAGCAUUAGGGUUUUAAACCCUAAACUGAACUUUUUCCUGCAAUCAGCAUUAGGGUUUUAAACCCUAAACUGAACUUUUCCUUUAGCCAGCAUUAGGGUUUUAAACCCUAAACUAAGCUUUUCCAUGCCAUCAUCAUUAGGGUUUUAAACCCUAAACUGAACUUUUCCUUUAGCCAGCAUUAGGGUUUUAAACCUUAAACUGAACUUUUUUCCAUUCAGCCAGCAUUAGGGUUUUAAACCCUAAACUAAGCUUUUCCAUGCAAUCAUCAUUAGGGUUUUAAACCCUAAACUGAAUUUUUCCUUUAGUCAGCAUUAGGGUUUUAAACCCUAAACUGAACUUUUUUCCAUUCAGUCAGCAUUAGGGUUUUAAAACCUAAACUGAACUUUUUCCUUUAAUCAGCAUUAGGGUUUAAAACCCUAACUGAACUUUUUUCCAUUCAGCCAGCAUUAGGGUUUUAAACCCUAAACUGAGCUUUUCCAUGCAAUCAGCAUUAGGGUUUUAAACCCUAAACUGAGCUUUUCCAUGCAAUCAGCAUUAGGGUUUUAAACCCUAAACUAAACUCUUUCCUUUCAGUCAACAUUAGGGUUUUAAACCCUAAACUGAACUUUUUUCCAUUCAGUCAGCAUUAGGGUUUUAAACCCUAAACCGAACUUUUCCUUUAGUCAGCAUUAAGGUUUUAAAACCCUAAACUGAACUUUUUUCCAUUCAGUCAGCAUUAGGGUUUUAAACCCUAAACUGAACUUUUCCUUUAGCCAGUAUUAGGGUUUUAAACCCUAAAC